rnacentral:rRNA from 1 species
AGCGAACGCUGGCGGCAGGCCUAACACAUGCAAGUCGAACGAAGCCUUCGGGCUUAGUGGCGGACGGGUGAGUAACACGUGGGAACGUACCUUUUGGUUCGGAAUAACGCAGAGAAAUUUGCGCUAAUACCGAAUGAGCCCUUCGGGGGAACGAUUUAUCGCCGAAAGAUCGGCCCGCGUUGGAUUAGGUAGUUGGUGUGGUAAAGGCGCACCAAGCCUACGAUCCAUAGCUGGUCUGAGAGGAUGAUCAGCCACACUGGGACUGAGACACGGCGCAAUCUCCUACGGGAGGCAGCAGUGGGGAGUAUUGGACAAUGGGGGCAACCCUAGUCCAGCCAUGCAGCGUGAGUGGUGAAGGUCCUAGGGUUGUAAAGCUCUUUUGUGCGGGAAGAUAAUGACGGUACCGCAAGAAUAAGCCCCGGCUAACUUCGUGCCAGCCGCCGCCGUAAAAC